rnacentral:misc_RNA from 1 species
CUUUAAUUCCCAUGGCUCCGAUAACAAGAAGGGUGAAGCCUACUACUCUUGUUCCCCAUGUACGAAUAACUUCAAUGUGGAGUCUGUCCUUUAAGAGCAGAAACAACAGGCCAAAAAUCAACUGCCCAGCAUCAUGACCACAACCCCAGAGGGCUCCCACUGCCGCACUCUCCAUCCUUGUGCGGCCUAUUGACAAAGGAGCCAAAGCAGCAAGAUGGUCAGGACCCGAUAGGGUGUGUAGGCAACCAGCAAAGAAACCAGUCCAUGCACUGCUUAGUAAUUCAUUACGAACAAAUCGACUUGUCAGUGCUGCUGCAGCCGGCCCACCAGCCUUAGCUGCCGCUUGGAAACUAGCAAAAGCUGG